UCCAGAGAAACACAGAAAUCCAAGGAGCAAGGUUUCCAGCCAGGAAAACAAGGGAGGACUCAGGAUCAAUCAUGCCUUUGCAGGGAAACUCAGAAAAUCUCUGACAUUGAGGCAGGCAUUCUGCACCUGUUUAAAUUCCCAAGCUGCAGGAAUCCAGCUGUGCCUGAUUAUCUCAGCAUUUCUAUUAAAGCCUCCUCGUAUGGCAAAGGCUCUCCCUUUCUGCUCAUCGCUUGCUGAAGGAUCAUGUGGAAAAAAAAUUCAAAAACUGCUGCUGCUCACAAUUGGGAUCCUUUCCAGGCACAGUUUCAAGGGUUAUGUGACAACAAUUGACAUGUGAAAGAAGUAAAGAGAUUCAACACAUCUUCCUGGCCCAUUCUUCUCUAUUCUUUAUUGUGUACUGAAAAUACAGUUACAGGGGAGUCCCCUCACUGGAUUAUGAAGGAGAAGAAUCAUUUAGUUCACCUGCUGGUUCACACUCCCUCAUGCUUCUGCCUCAUGCAAUGCUGUGCAUACCGAAAUAACAUUAAAAUGGAAAGAAGUGUCUGAUAGAAUUCAGAAUGUUGUUCCAAUAUUCUCCACCAUCUGUCCUUUCUGGUCCACAAUGCAAUUUAAUCACUCUAGGUCUGGGAUACAAGUGAGGAGUUGACCACUUAUGGACUGGCAAAAGAGACAACACAACACAGAUUUGUAUAGAAUUUCAAGAAGUAGAUGUGUUAGUCUAUAAAAUCACUGGUGGAUUGUGACAGGGAGGACUAGCAAAAAACAGGGAAGGUCUGACAAACAUUAAGUCAACCCAUUCAUGAUUUAGACAGAAUAUAGCUUUAAUCUGACUGUCACAGCAUUCCUGUAUUUCUAAUGGACACAGUGUAUUCAGGCUAUACACUAGCCAUGAAGAGAAUCACAUUUAGCUGUGACUUUAUGCUAUUGAAGUAGAGAAAACACAACAAAGGCCUGUACUGGUAUUGGAAUUAUUUUCUAAAAAUAGAACACUUUGCAGUUUAACUAUUCCUUUCGUGCUUUGACUUCAUAUCACCGCACAUUGGUUUAUAUUCAGAAAAAAAUCAUUUAAAUAUCAAAAUGCUUAAGUAAAGGAAUGUGUGUCCCCCACCCCUCAUUCCUUGAUAAUUCCAUGCAAAACCAUUAUCUGGCUUACAUUAGAGAGCAGGGACAUGGAUCUCACUGAGGCUUAAUAUUUAGAAAUAUGACCCAAUCUUCAGCCUGGAUACAAAUAUCCAAAAAUAUUUUGUUAUGGAGAAACUAUCACUUAAAAUGUCACUUACUGUAAGAGGUAUAAACCAAAAAACAUUUGUGAAAUGUUGGUAUUUUCUCAUAGAAUAAAUUAAUAACAAUAUACAGCUCUUGAAACCUCGAGCCCAUCACUUGUGGAACUGGAAUGUUGUACUUUCCUCAAAACCUCUGAAGCGUUGAUACUAUAUUUAACAAAAAACAAAACAAAACAAAACCCUAAAUUAUAUCUUAUCUUUUCUUGUACUGUCAUAAACAUGACUUUUUAUUAUUGUUAUUAUUUAUAAUUCAUUCUGUACUGAAAUAGAUUUGCAUCUAUUGAUGAAAGUGACUUUUCUGUAUAUUAACAUUUAUAUGCAAAUCCUACAAUCAAAGUUUUUUUAAAAAUAUAUAUCAAAAAUAAUUUUAAUUUUCACAUAUACACAAAAUCUGAUUGUAGGUAGAAUCAAUAGUUUCAUAUGGAAAAUUAAACCAACUGAAUGUAACUUUUAAAAUAUGGAGCUUUUACCAGCUUCCCUCCUCUAUACUUUGUAUCCUAUUUUCUACUGCUAAAGCAACAGACACUUUUUUUUCAUAACAAAAUGUCAUGCCCUGAAACUUAGUUCUAAGUACACAGCAGAAUUACAGGCCAUGUAAUCUAAGAUCCGUAGUCAGAAAAUGAUAUACAGACAUUAGGAAUGGAUAGAGCUGUAAAUAAUGAUAGUAGCAUUCUCACAUCUAGCUCUUACUGAGCUAGUUCAGAAAGGGCCUGCCUCACAUGCAAGGGAGCUGAAUGGGAGAUCUUUUAUAGACAAAUCUUAACAGACACUAUAUAAAAUACUAACCUGAGGACUGAACAUCCCUUAACUUUUACAGCCACUGGAUACAGAAUGGGUAUAUCACAUAUCUGCAAAUUUUUUGUUUGUUUGUUUGCAAGAAAAAUACUUUGUAUGUAAAAUAUCUUUUUAAGCAAAAUCUGGCUUUUUGUGCUUUAAAAUCUGGCUUUAUUAUUAUUAUUACUUUAAAUAAAACUGGCUGA